rnacentral:lncRNA from 1 species
ACCUCUACUGCCCCUUGGGGUUAGUGGUUAGAAGCUUAUGUCUUGAAUUGAGGGGAUUGUGUUGAAGAGAAAGCAGAAAGAGGAAGGGAUCUCUAACAGAUAAGGUCUCUAUUAGCACCGACAAGAUAGGAAAACAUCUAAGGAGGCCGUCCGGAAUAUGGAAGUUCCUGGCCUAGCCAAGGUGUUUUCAGCACACUGUUUCUCCAACUGUGCUCUGCAUAGCCCUGGACAUUCCC